AACACCCUCGCAUCGCACUCGACAGGCGCUCGCCGCCGCCGCCGCCGCCGCCCGCCGGCUGCGAUCUCCGGUUUUCUCAAGGGGAUCUUGCAUCCAACCAUGUCAACGAGUGCGGUCACCGGCGAGGCACCGCCGUCAUCCGAGACCAGAACGGAGGGCGCCGGCGACGAGACGGCGAGAGCGACGCCGGCUGGGACGAACAAAGACGGCGAGGCGGCGGCGGCGGCGGCUGCGCCGGAGGAGAAGAGGACGAAGCUGGUGCGGGUGGGGCACGCGUACGUCGAGGCCGUCCAGGCGCGGCACCGCCCCGCGCAGGAGCCCCCGCCGCCAUGAGGGCGAGCCGCGACGAGGACGAGGGCGUCCUGCGCCAGUACCGCGCCAAGGGGUGCGCCGAGGUGGAGGUCCUGGCCGACGACGACGACGACGAAGGCGACGAUGACAACAAGGGGGCCGACGAUUAGUUGGCAGCGUUGCGUGGUUAGGGCUAAUUGAUUGAGAUUCUUAAUCUGUUUCUGGGGUUGGUUGUGAUGCGAAACUUUGAUAUUGUGAUCUGGGUGGGUAGAUGAUAAGAAUAAAUAAGUAGUAGAAGAAGCAAGGGCUGAACAGUUUGUUGCUGGAACUUUGAUAGUUUCAGACUUUCAGUAACUAUCUUGUGGCUGAACAGUUUGUGAUCUGCAGUCUUAUAAUUUAUUGUGAACUUUGGCGCAUGCAUGCUUGCAUAAUAAUGCAGCAAGUAGGGAGAUUUGCCUGUAUUUGUGACAUUGGA